rnacentral:rRNA from 1 species
GCAAGUCGAGCGGUAACAGGAAGUAGAUUGCUACUUCGCUGACGAGCGGCGGACGGGUGAGUAAUGCCUAGGAAAUUGCCCUGAUGUGGGGGAUAACCAUUGGAAACGAUGGCUAAUACCGCAUAAUGCCUUCGGGCCAAAGAGGGGGACCUUCGUGCCUCUCGCGUCAGGAUAUGCCUAGGUGGUAUUAGCUAGUUGGUGAGGUAAUGGCUCACCAAGGCGACGAUCCCUAGCUGGUCUGAGAGGAUGAUC